CUCCCCAGCUGCUGGUAUUACAGGCGUGAGCCACCACACAUGGCCUAAAUAGCUUUGUUUUUAAAUCACCGACAGCCCCUUUUAGCAUCUCCUGCCAUUGGGCUACUUUGUGCUUUCCCUGGUAGAAGUGACUGUGCCACCAAUUAUCUGUGUGGCCUUGACUAAAUCAUUCUCGGUCUGACUUUCUUCAUAUCUUUGCAGUAUAGUUGGAUUAAAUAGUCCCCUUUAAAUAUUUUUAAAAUGUGCCCAUGCUAUAAAAUUCACUCUUUAGUCUUUCAAGAUUGUACAUCUGAAUAUCACUAAUAUUACUCAUCUGUUAUGCUGUUCCAUCUCUUGAGAUACUGUAUCAGUAAAUAUGAUGGUGAACACUAUAAAGAUUACUUUUCAAAUUUCUAUUAAGAUAGGCCUAUAACUGAAGAACUAAACAUUUCUGAAUAAAUAAUAACAAUGUAGCCAAUAACGUUUUCUACAUAUUUUGGUCUUGCAAUCAAUGUGAGGAAUGCACAUUUGGAUCUGGAUUCUCAGAGUAAUUUACUUCCUCUUACAAGUCUACCAUUGCUAGUUUAAAUGCUAAUGGCUGAGAUAUACAAGCCAAGGGGUUUGUGGUGUGAAUGCAGGGCUUGACUGAUCACCAGACUCCCUUCCCAACCUCUCAUCUGAAGAAGGAGAAAGUUCUUGAAAAAGCUCAAAAAUGCAUUUUGGCAAGCUCAAGAGAUGCAGUUUAGCAGCAUGAAUUAAGAGACUUGUGACUGUGGAAAAGAACAGUACAUUUUAAAUGGCUUUGGCCCUUCUUAGCUUUUGACCAGCUGACCUUGACAUUCCUUAGAGGCCAAAGGAUGAGAUGCAGUGAAGACAGUGCUGCCUAGCCAUUUCCCCUCAGGAGGCAGAACCAGUCCUUCCAGCUGCAGAUGAAGUCUAUCCAGUGUGUCUUGGGGAGAACUGUAAUAAAUGAGGUUCCCUCCCUGAGAAAUGACUAAAACCACAAAAAUAAUUUCUUAGAUGAAACAGCUCAAUUAUCUAAUGUAAUUACUCCUAAGGAAAAAAUGAGAGAAAUUUAUCAUAGUUACAUGAAGUUUCCAAUGUGGUUAUAUAUGACUGUGUAUAGUCCACAGUUAUUCAUCUGGCGUUCUAUCAAACAGAGUUUUCUAUAAUAUGGUAUCUGUGACUGUUUCCAAUACAAUAAAAAUGCUGUAAAAUCUUGAAAUGCUUUUCAAAAGAAUACUUUAUAGAAUAGCAUGUACAGCUGUAGUAUUGAGCUUAUUUUGCUGUACUUUAUUAAUCUUUUCCAAAACAUGUAAAUAAUGAAGUUUGUUGCACACCACAUCUGGAUUUCAUGAUUAUUCUGUAAGACUUAUACAAUAGAUGGCCCUUCAUUUAGGGAAGUAGUAUAUACACCAGAAUGUACCUUUUCUUUUUAAGAUUUAAAACAAUGGAAAAAGCCACUGAAGUAUAUAUAGUAUCUGUGUGCCGAGAUACACAGGAAAGCAUGGAUCGUGUGGAUGGAAGGAACCAGGAUCAUCUCAUCCAGCUGAGUAAUAAGUACGUUUGGUGCAGUGCCACACAGGAGGCCAGCAGCAGAGCCCGGAGUAGUAACUGGGUUUCUUCACUCUUAGCCUCUCAAGUGGUGAGACCAAGGCAUGAUCUUAUCUCUUGAUUGUGGCCACCAGUAAAGAACAGCAUAUCUCUAAUCUCAGAAGCACAAGGAGUUCAUACAGGAAACCAAGAUUAGAGCAUCAUGCUAUCAUCUUUCAAAAUUACUAUGCAGGAUCGGUGGAACACUGGGCACUGAUGGAGUGGGCCCUGCAUCCUUCACUGCUUCCUCAUGGAGGGAUCUCCAGGAAGGGGGCCCUCUUUGCCUGUCUCCUCCCUUUGUGGCGAAUAUGGGUGGGGGAUGGAUCUGGGCAUGCUCAGAUCAGCCCCUCCCUUGCUCUUCUCUCUUUGGAUCUUGCUUGCAAUCAGAGGGCUUUUUCUUCCUGUUUUUUGGAGGGUGGGAUCUGCGUGGAGCUGUUCAAUGCUGCCUGUGACUGGGUGUUAGUAUGCUUAGCUCACGGUGAAGAAUAAGACAGCUCAUGAGGCCCAGCAGUACAUCCCUUUUCUCCUCUGAGUUCUCCCCAGUACAAAUCUGGUGCUUGGAUCUCUUUCUGACUCCUCAGUUUAUCUGUCAAAUGGUUCCAAACUUGAGUAGGGAGAGAGGAUCAUCCCCUGUCAAAUGUACACUAUUCAUGCACUUUCAUGGCGUAAAAGAACCCUAGACACGUGGGCUCCCUUGCUAAUUGCACCUUCAAAGCAAUAGUCAUUAUUUAGCAUUUAUCGGAAGAGGCUGGCCCCAGCUCUGGUGAAGGGCAGAGAAGGUGUGGGUGGCCUCACACGUUCUCAAUGUCACAAAAUGAUAGCAUUAAACAGACCCACUCCCUCAUGGAAGGCAAUGUGACGACCUUCUAUUGAUAUUGCAACAUGUGUCUCUGGCAGCAGGAUCUCAGUCCUUACGUAAGGGAUAUGGGAUGAUUUCCUCCACUUCAUGUAUAUGCUCUCCCUAAGCAGAUCUGGCAGAUGCAAAUUUAUCCAUAUCUUUUCAUUACCAAUGAAGUUUUAGUAUCCACAUCCCGUCUUUGUAACCCUUUUUAUUUCAGCUGAUCUAAAUAAUUAGUUCAGAUUUACCCUGGCAAAUGGCUUUUACCAUUGUUAGUUUCUUACCUUAUAACAAAAUACUGCCAUCAAGUUUUGAUUACGAAAAUGGCUGAAGGCAAGGGACCAUAUGAGAGAGUGCAAUCAACAACACGGUCUUUUUGCCCAACAGAAUUUGACAUUUUUGGCUUAGAGAAUUAAAGCACAAUGACUGUUCCUGAAAAUCAGCACAGUAGUCAUAAUAAAACUUUUUUCUUGGCUGGGCACAGUGUUGCAUGCCUCUAAUCUCAGCAUUUUGGGAGGUUGAGGCGGGAGGAUCACUUGAGCCCAGAUCUUGAGACCAGCCUAGGCAACACAGUGAAACCUCGUCUACGCUAAAA